UCACCAACCGGUCCACUGUUAUUUGGGCUCGGCCCUGGCCCUGGCCCUGGACCUGGACCUGGCCCGAGUAUAUGGCGGCAUCAUGACGCUACCAUUGGCGCGAACGAUGGAUCAGAUCACGUCAUCAGAACCUCGCCUUGGCAGAAACGUCGGAUACUUGCAUUGUGCGCCGAGGCUCUGCCGUCGAACGGACACAGAAUCGCCGUCGUCGCCUCCUCUGUCAAUAUCCGAUGUCCGUACAACGGCGGCGAGGAUUCUUCUUCGCCAUUGAUCCGCGAUGUGAUCUCUCAUCUUGUAUUUGGCUUUUUGAAUUCGAAUUAGAACAAUGGAGGAGUUGGUGAUUCAACCAAAAACCUAUGAAGUCGUGUUAUGUUGUUUUUGUGGCAUCUUCCAUUGAAUCUGGCUAUUGUCUCUGGUUUCGGUAAGUUUAGGAUGAACUUGUCCUUUGGGCCGUUCCCAGCUUCGUCCACUUCUUCACUUAUUCCGCCAACACUGGGGUUCGUUCAAAACGAAAGUGACGAGGGGCUGAUGUGCAUAAUGCAUAUUCAUUUCGAACAUCAAGAUCAUUUAUGAGGUGAAGGGACGGGGGAUUAAUAAAGCCCCAUCACAGAAUCUUACUGUUCCAUUUGGGAGUGUUAAGCUACAUUUUCACUGAUCCUUUGGGUGAAAUCUUCUCUUUCUCAAUCUCAUUUACCAAAAACAGAACAAACAUUAGACAUUGAGUUUCGUGCUUGUUGUCUAUGAUGUUGGUUAGUUCGGGAUGAACUGUGAACCAGAGGAGGUUGAUUUGCAGAAAAAUAGAGUCUUGAAGUAAGAGUACACGGGGUUGUAUCGAAGCCCUUGUUGUGAUAAUAUUGUGUUGGAGGAGUAAGAAACAACGUAUUGUAGAAUUUAGCUUUUCCAUUUGAGAAUGGUAAAGUACAUUUUAUUCGUCUUUCA